UGGGGAAUAUUGCGCAAUGGGCGAAAGCCUGACGCAGCGACGCCGCGUGAGGGAUGACGGCCUUCGGUUGUGAAACCUCUUUCAGCAGGGACGAAGCGAAAGUGACGGAUACCUGCAGAAGAAGCACCGGCCAACUACGUGCCAGCAGCCGCGGUAAUACGUAGGGUGCAAGCGUUGUCCGGAAUUAUUGGGCGUAAAGAGCUCGUAGGCGGUCUGUCGCGUCGGCUGUGAAAACCCGGGGCUCAACCCCGGGCCUGCAGUCGAUACGGGCAGACUAGAGUGCGGUAGGGGAGACUGGAAUUCCUGGUGUAGCGGUGAAAUGCGCAGAUAUCAGGAGGAACACCGGUGGCGAAGGCGGGUCUUC
rnacentral:rRNA from 1 species